rnacentral:rRNA from 1 species
GACGAAUGCUGGCUGCGUGCUUAACACAUGCAAGUCGAACGGUGAAGGAGGGCUUGCCCUCCGGAUCAGUGGCGAACGGGUGAGUAACACGUGGGCAACCUGCCCCUCACUCUGGGAUAACGCCGGGAAACCGGCGCUAAUACCGGAUACGACCAGGCGCGACAUCUCGCCUGGUGGAAAGAAUUUCGGUGAGGGAUGGGCCCGCGGCCUAUCAGCUAGUUGGUGGGGUAACGGCCCACCAAGGCGACGACGGGUAGCCGGCCUGAGAGGGCGACCGGCCACACUGGGACUGAGACACGGCCCAGACUCCUACGGGAGGCAGCAGUGGGGAAUAUUGCGCAAUGGGCGAAAGCCUGACGCAGCGACGCAGCGUGAGGGACGAAGGCCUUCGGGUUGUAAACCGCUUUCAGGAGGGACGAAGCCACUCGGGUGAAUAGCCCAGAGGGUGACGGUACCUCCAGAAGAAGCCCCGGCUAAC